rnacentral:rRNA from 1 species
UACGUAGGGGCCUAGCGUUGUCCGGAUUUAUUGGGCGUAAAGAGCUCGUAGGCGGUUCGGUAAGUCAGGUGUGAAAUCUCCACGCUCAACGUGGAGGCGCCACCUGAAACUGCCGUGCCAGCUCGAGUCGGAGGUAGGGGAGUGUGGAAUCCCGGUGUAGCGGUGAAAUGACGCAGAUAGUCGGGAGGAACACCAAUGGCGAAGGCGGCAUCCUGGACCAUAACUGACGCUGAGGCGCGAAAGCGUGGGGAGCAACAGG